CAAACGUCUACCCAUCUUCAUUAUUGUACACUCAACAGACUAUGCUACCAACACAGGCUUCACAUCUACACAUUGUGAUUCCAAAAAAAGUCUACCAACACUGGUUGUCCAUCACAGUAACUCAUUUACUCAGUAUGAUCCCACCAUUGACUAAUCUGUUCAUUCUGAUCCCAACAGUCUACCCGUCUACAUAUUCUGAUUUAAUAAAGCUUCUACCCAUCUACAUACUCUGAUUCCGAAAAAGCUUACUCAGUUAUGCAUUCUGAUCAAUCGGUCUACCGGUUAAUGCAUUAUGACUCCAACACAGCCCGUUUAUAUACUCAUUCUUAACUUAGCCCCUUAUGGACACACGACGGAAAUAUUCCGUCAUGAUUCCCUUUUAUUCCAGAAGCUGUGUCCUUAAGGGGUCAACAUGGUCUACUCAUAUAUUUAUUCUUAAUUAUAUGAUAUUAUCACAACAUAGCUUCGCACACAAACAGCUAAGAGAGAACAUAACUUUUCAUGCUUUGCAGGGGAACAAUACAUUGCAUAUCAGAUG